GAAAGCCUGACGGAGCAAUACCGCGUGAGGGAGGAAGGCUCUUGGGUCGUAAACCUCUUUUCUCAGGGAAGAACACAAUGACGGUACCUGAGGAAUAAGCAUCGGCUAACUCCGUGCCAGCAGCCGCGGUAAUACGGAGGAUGCAAGCGUUAUCCGGAAUGAUUGGGCGUAAAGCGUCCGCAGGUGGCWAUGUAAGUCUGCUGUUAAAGAGUCUAGCUCAACUAGAUAAAAGCAGUGGAAACUACAUAGCUAGAGUACGUUCGGGGCAGAGGGAAUUCCUGGUGUAGCGGUGAAAUGCGUAGAGAUCAGGAAGAACACCAGUGGCGAAR
rnacentral:rRNA from 1 species